rnacentral:tRNA from 1 species
GAGAGGGUGCGGUGCGGUGCCGUAAUCUUUCAUAUCGAUUCAAUAGCUGGCUUCCGGUUCGAUUCCGGUGCCUGUCAAUC